GACGAACGCUGGCGGCGUGCUUAACACAUGCAAGUCGAGCGAAGCGGCGGACGGGUGAGUAACACGUGAGUAACCUGCCUUAGACAUUGGGAUAGCCUCGGGAAACCGGGAUUAAUACCAAAUGGUCUAAGAUGGGCUCGCGGCCUAUCAGCUUGUUGGUGGGGUGAUGGCCUACCAAGGCGGUGACGGGUAGCCGGCCUGAGGGGUUGACCGGCGACGUUGGAACUGGGAUACAGCCCAGACGACUACGGGGGGGAGCAGUGGGGGAUAUUGCACGAUGGGCGAAGGCCUGAUGCAGCGACGCCGCGUGGGGGAUGAGGGCUUUCGGGUUGUAAACCUCUGUCGCUAUCGAACGGGUAGGUGGAGAAGAAGCGCCGGCUAACUACGUGCCAGCAGCCGCGGUAAUUC
rnacentral:rRNA from 1 species